UCUGGAUGCGAAAGAAGAUUCGAUCAACGUACAAGGUUUGCCUUCUUGUGAGAAGGUGAAUUGUGUUCUCAGUACAAAAGGAGUCUUUGCUCCCCGGCGCGCUACGGCAACACCCCCUGCUUGCUUCUUUCUGUUCAACGCGGAGCUCGCAGCCUCCCCACCCUUGCUUAGCGUUCCACUUGUGAUCCUGGAGGAUUUGGAGAAAUGCGCCCGACCAUGAAGAAUGGAUUUUUUCUUAUCUUUCAUGUGAACGGCCCUAUCUCGUAAAGAAUGGUUUUUCGUGCUAUAGACCACGUUGCCUCGGAAUAGACGCGUCCAUGGCAUCCUUCAUUCUGCUUGAUUACGAGUUUUUUGAGUAUUGAUAAAAUAUACUAAAGAAUCGUCACCCUCUUUAUUUCAUAGGAAGGCCGAAGCCCUUUUCAGAACCUGCCCAUGAUAGCUGGUCGGCAAAAUGACCCCGUAACUUCGGGAGAAGGGGUGCUCUCCUAUCUUUUGAUUAGGAAAGCGGCACAUACCAGGGGGUAGCGACUGUUUAUUAAAAACACAGGACUCUGCUAAGUGGUAACACGAUGUAUAGAGUCUGACACCUGCCCGGUGCUAGAAGGUCGGAAGAGGAAAGGAAGAGUGAUUAAAACAAGAAGUACCGCAUGAUUUAUUUCUUUUAAAGAUUUUUCCAUACACCCGGGAAGUGGAAUAGAACUAUAGGUUCGAGUUUAGCCAAGAUACGUACACGGCUAAGUGUAUUAAAAUCCAAGAAAGAAUCAGGGCUAUCUAAAAGCUAGGAAGGAGAAGACCGCAGGAUCUGUAGUGACAUCUUCUCCUGAUGUGCAAUUGGAGGCACUUGUGCUAGUUGCUGCAUCUUCACCGCGUCCAUUCUACUAUGAUCACUUCGACGUCAUAUUUCGAAUCCUUCUUUGCUUGGGACUCCGACCCUCCCCUGCCGCCGAAGCACGAACUACUUGAAAUCGCGGAUCGACAGCUUCCUGCGACAUUCCUUCAAUGCAAACGUGGUAUUUUUCUGACAUACGUUGCGGGUGUCCAGUUGGCAUAUGGGUCUGGGUUCCGCUCAUCAACUCGAACGGUCAAUGCUGGCCAGAUACCUGCAUCGUUAUACGUCACAAGUUGGGGUGGUUGAACAGGAAAAACAACAAGGCAGGCGAUAGGCACACACACCUAUGAGAAACAAUUCCACAGGAAUUGGGCAGAACUAUUAGUUCAAUAUAAGAAAUUUCAUAUCACCAUGGGACUUACUAGUAAAAAGCGAAUAUCAAUUCAUGACAGCGAUGGCCGCUUAGUUGGUACUAAACCCCAUCAUAUUGGGGGAGAUGAGUUCAAAAACUUUGGCCAUACGGCCCAUCGAGCUUUAAGCAGUGUUUUAGAUGAAAACGAGGUACUAUUGAGAGAAUUGUCGAGCUUGGCUGAUCAUAACACUCCCAAAAGUAGUGGAAAUGACACUAACCCUAGCCUGAAGGAACCGUAGAAAAAUAAACUACGAUAAGUAUCGAGAGUAGAAGUCGAGAACAACUGUGUGAAGUAGAAGCUGGGAUAGAAAGGGUUGGAAUUCUCAGCGAUCAGUGGUUGAUCUGAUCAGUGAACUUUUGGUGAGUUCAUUGGUAUCGGGUGGUCCGUUUCAUCCUCUUUCGGCAAAGGAAGUUAGACUUUAGUUAGCUAAAAAAACAGUACCAGCAGCCUGUCUGUGCCCUUUGAGUCUAUAGCCGCCAAAUGUAAAGAUUCCUUAAGUUGUCGUACGGCUUCUUUUUCUUCUUUUGUCAAUGAUCGGUGACAAUGAAUGCUACGAAUGUUCGCUUCCACUAAUGUCGUCUAAGAAUUGUGAGGUGCCCAUAGCUUCCCGGAAAGAAGAAGAGUCAUUGUCGUUUCCUAACCGAUAUGAAUGCACAUAUUUACCCUCGCCUCGGGGAAUACCACCAGUAGAGUCUGUAGAAGGUGUCGUUCAGGAGAGAUGCUGGGCUCUAGAUAUGCGACUGAGAUACCCACCCUCGGUCAUGACAUAAUAGGAGAUUGAUCUCUUACUCUUUCACCCCGAAAACCUUCUCCCCAGCUCAAGAUCACUUUCUUCUUUUUCUGGAAAUAAGUAGAUCCAGGUAUGUAUCUAACUCGCACCCCACGCCUGACUGCGUUCUCGUGUCGUUAUAAUGGGGUGCUUUUUUCUCUUGCCUUCUGGAUGGUUCUGAAGUAGUGAACAGCUUCCGACCAUUAUGACCUUUUAUUGAAUUUUGGAUUUUCUAUAGGAGCUCACUACUGCUGCAUUUCAAAUGUGCCCGCUUUCAAGAUUUAACCUUUAAAAUAUUUGACCAACGUUUAAUGUAAUAUGAAAUGAAUUUUAUUUGUUAAAAAUUAUAUCAUUAGAUUGACAUUUAAAUUUACUUUCAUAUGAUUAUAAUUUUAUUGCUACAAACCUUAUAGCAUAUGAGAAAUUAUAAGUUAAAAAUUAGUUUUGAAGACCGUGCAACUUUUACCAUGCCUUAUAUUAUGGGAUGAAGGGAGUAAAUGGUCAAGGUGGGACCCAUACAACGGAUGAAGUAGGCGUUGAUUUCAAAGUGGUGAACAGUGAAAGUGGGACCCACAGAACAACAAAAAUGGGCCCAUAUAAACCCAGCCCAAAAAGAAGAUGCAAAGCCCAUAUAAAUCAAUAUCAUAGCCCAUAUCAGAGAAACUAAAAGUCCAACCCACACCCGUGUGCUGCACGAAUCACAAAGAAGAUGAACGGCAGAAAAAACGACAGAUUUGGCACUCUAAAAUCUGUCAACAGAGCAAUAGCAAAUCCGUCAAAAAAAAAAAACCAAACAAUUAGCGUCGACCCGAUUGGAUUCGGAGUCCGAAUCGGAUCCGCACCCACCCUAGCUCCCGUCCCGCCGCUGCCUUUAAAAGCAGAGCACCCCCUUCCUUCCCUCGCUUCUUCCUCCCGCGCGCUCCAUCCAUCGCCUUCUCCCAUCGACAUGGCCAGCCUCGAUCUUCUCCUCAAGCUAGGGUUUCGCUUCAACCCGUCUCAGGAGGAGGUCAUCACCUACUACCUGCCACGGCUCAUCGCCGGCCACCCGCCCAAGGACACCGAGGGGUACAUCCACCGCGCUGACGUCUACGGCGCCGACGAGCCCAGGGACCUCGCCGGCAAGUACGCGCCCGUGGCGAGGAGCCCCAAUGGCGACCGGUUCUUCUUCACCGGUUGCAAGCGGGUCAAAGGGAAGUUCUCCCGCUCCGCCGGGGGUGGCACCUGGGUCUCGCAGUCCAGCAAGGAUCUCAAGAACAGGGAGGGCAUCAAGAUCGGCGAGGUCAAGAACUUCCGCUUCAAGAAAGGUGGCAACAACACGGAUUGGUUGAUGGAGGAGUAUCACCUCUGCGGGAAAGAAGCCGGUGGUGUCGUCGAGCCCGUCGUCUGCCGGAUUUACGUCUCCCCGAGGGCGGCUCCUGAUUCGGUGGCGCACCAAGAAUCAGCCGCCCUGCCGCCGCCUCAAGAACUCGUGCCGCCGCCCCAAGAACUCGCGCCGCCGCCGUAUCCUGCAGCACAGGCGGCGCCGCAAGCUCCUGCGCCGCCACGACAAGUGCCCGUGAUCACGCAGCAGCAGGCGCCGCCCCAGAAGAGGCCCGCCGCGCCGGUCGCCGAGCCGCCGUGCGCCACCAAGAAGAUGAAAGGCGCUGUCUCGGCAAAACCAAUGGCGCCGCAGAGCAGCGUGACGGCGUCCGCGGCGCCACCCCGGUGUGCCGUGGCGCCAUCGCAGCAUCAUCCACCAUUCCAGACCUACCCGACGGACCCGUUCGAGCCACCGGCGCCAGCUGCCUCGGUGACUCAGCCGUCUGUCCCUGCGACGCCAGAGCAAGGCCCUGCUUAUGUACCCGAUCCGGCUGACAUCGGCAUGGAAAUGGACGAGCUUAUGAGCUUCCUGGACAGUAUACCAGUCGACGGCAUCCUCCCUUCCCAGCUAUAUGAAUACGACGAGCUCGCCAAAGAACUGGAGGACGCGCUACAAGGAGGAGGAGAAGAGGACGGCAAUGACAAUCCACCGCGGUGUGCGACUCCUCCUCCUCCGCGACCGGCAUCUUGGCCCGCCAUGGCGCCACCGCCGCCGCCUCAUCCACCCAUCUUGACCUUUCCCAAGGAUCCGUUCGAGACCAACGAAGAAGACGAGGGCGAGGACGAUUUUGCGAGCAUGCUAAGAGGCCAUGUGUUCGCUCCUUCAGUCGUCGCGGAAGAGGUGGAUGUGACAAGCAGUCGCAGGGGGGCUACCGUGUGCUUCUGAAGGACAUGGGCGACGAUCAAAUUGACCAACAGUGGCUGAAGGUGUCUCUGAAAGACUACCACCAUCUGAUGAAGAGCUGUAAAUUGUAGUGAAGAUUAGUUGUGAAAUUCUUUACAUUGUACAAGAGAACACGAAAUUCUUUAUGUGACCAAAUUCGUCACGUCAAGAGUAAUUAUGAGUUCGUGUGAACAUAUAGUGUUCAGCUUGCUUUGUAAUUGAAUUGUUCCUGUUGUGUUCUAAGAAUUAUGUUCUGCAACAAUUGCAUGCGCAGAGUUUGAACUGCAGACAAAUUUGUUGUCAGGAUCAAAGUUAUGCACUUCUCUUGCAUUUCGUAAGUUAUUGUGCAAAAGUUGCGGAUCAGAUGAAGAUUGGAAGGACUAAGCAUGCACUGGAUUAGAAGAUACACGUACAACACAAAACACAUCAAACGGCAACAGUCACAGUAGUUGGUUUCGGAAUAUGUAGAGUCUCUGAUAAAUAUGAUUUCAAUCUUUCCCAGACAUUUCCAAAUGCAUUUCCAGUACACUAAACAAUCUAGCUAAAGCAGCCUAAAAAACAUGCCAUGUGAUGCUCUUUCAAUCUUGGUUAUUUGAGAGCAGCAUGUAGUUGCAACGUUGGAGACGGAUUUCCUGCAACCUCAACUAGCGUGUAGUCAGAUAGAUACACAGAACUCUCUUUCCGUAGCAACCCAGCCAGCCAGACAUCCCAGUUCAAACCUUGGCACAACAGGUUCUCCAGUACAAGCUGAACCGGUGCAUCUUCGGCCCAGCUGCAAAACAAAAUGCUCAAAUUAUGAGUAGGAUAUUGAUCAUAUUUGCUCAGAUAUCAAUGUCAUAGUAGAUAACUAGAUACUAGAAACACAAAGGUAAAUAACAGAAAUUUGUUAUUUGCUUUGGUCAUAUGAUUAUCAUCAAUGGAGUUUGAUCAUAAUUCGUACCUCCAAGUUGAAACAGUGUCAUGGACAGAACAGUCAAUCGAUGUUUUCAGUUUAUACUAUUAAUGUACUACUAUUAUCAUCCUCUCUUUAAAAAAAAGGAACUACUAUUGUCAUGCCUGACUGCCUGUGCACAACAUUACCUCAAUUAAUCACUUCUUACUACCCAAAGUGAGUAACUUGCUUAUAAAAACAAAUAAGGUGAAAUACGAUACACAAUAAUUUUUUAAGUUGACCCUAAUCCAUAAGCACCAGUUAAAAGCUUCUAUUCCUCCAAAAGAAUUAAGUAUCGUAGAACAUAUAGAAUAACACCCAUUGCAUGACUGGCAGUAAACUCCUCAUUUUUAUUUUGUAAAUUUUUUUCUGGUAGCAAUGUAAAGUUCCCUAUUUUAGAGUUGAGUAAGAGAUCCAUGCCCAUCUGAUCAAACUGUUUGUACCCUGAUGGCCCUUUCUGCCAGUUGCCUGCCUAGAACUAGAAGUGCACCCCGCUCUUGCAGCGCAUGUAAGAUUGUCAAAUAAUUGGUGAGCCUUGUCUUCAAAAUGGAAGCAUCACCGUCUGAUUUCUUCUCUUUGACAGUUGAGGAGGUGAUUACUAUCUAUUUCUUCUUGCUGAUUUCAUAGUACAGUACAAAGUUGCAUAUAGUUCACCGUAUGGAGUCAAAUCAUAACAUAAAUCUUAGUGACACUUUACGAAAUGAAAAUGUAAAAAGGUUGGGGCCCAAAAUAGCUUCUACUCACCAUAUCAUCCAUGCUCCCCAGUAACAAAUGUCAUAGCCGAAUUAAACCCUGUCAUACCAAUAAGUACAUAAGAAAUCAUGGGGUUUGAGAUAUGAACAAUUUAACUGACUAAACUAAGAACACCAUAGCAAGUUAUGCAUAUUAGCAUAGUUAUAAACAUGUAGCGAAAAAGUUAAAGAACAGGAGUACUUGUUUCUUGGUUCUUCACCGGGUGGAUCAAGUUUUCUAUCUACGCCGUUAUCAAAGUAUUUAAAUCACCACCCGUUAACGCUAUAUAUCUUUUCAUUCAGUAAUGUACUAAUUUUCAACAAUUUGGUGUUCAAAAGCUCAAAUAAUAACGCAAGCAUAUUUUUUACAUUGAAAAAAUGCAUUUGGUAAGUAUGUAUUAAGCUUAGGCCUUAGGCGCUCCUCAUACCUCAUUAACAUCUAUCUCCAAGGAGCACGAAGCAACCUAGAAUCCUAAGAAAUUAUCACACUACAGUUAUUACCAACCACUAUUUCAGCUUCUACUUCUGUUUAUUGGUACUCACCUGAUGCAUUUAGGAAGAAAACACCACCAUAUCAUGUUUAGCAUUGGUCAAAAGCUCAUGUGCUAUCUGUAGGAUUUACAGACAGGAUGUCAAGAGUAGCCUUUUACUCAACUAGUAGACCUUUAGACUAAUAGUUGAUGCAAGUUUUAGACUAAAGCAUUACUACUGUUUGAAUGCUGUGUAACAUGAGUUGAUCCACAGCUACAGAUCCAAAUUAACAUUAGCAUCUUUGAGCCAAAUUUGAGGCUUUGAGACAGCAAUUUGGAGAGGUGGAACUUUUUGUACUCCUCAAGUCAAGAUUCCUCCUGUAGGUUAUGAUAACCUUAAGCACUUUGAAAAGAAACAUGGUUUUUAUUGUAGUUUGCUUGAAUAUAUGCAUUUGCUCAAAAAAUGUCCUCUAGCAAAGGUUUUCUCUUGAAUUAUGCAGAUCGUCUGCCAUUGUUAAACUACAUAUGAUUGCAAAGCAAUUGAAUUAUAAUAAUGGUUGAGGACUGUAUGGAUACGUUUUGUCAUGAAAGUUUGACCUAUUGGUCAUAUCUUUUACAAAACUUAUAUAAUGCACAGCACAUGACACAUUUCUUGACCUGUAACACUUACAUUGUGAGACGAAGAGUGGAUUGCAGAACUCAAGACCAACAAUUGGCUCAUAUCCUGCAAGUAAUCAACAACUAUAAACAUAAACCAUGGCUGAAUAAAGAUACGAUAAAGAAUAUAAGCACCAGCUAUAAACAUCUACUUCUUCAAUGUGAUUGAACUUGUCAUAAUUCUCACUAAAGAACAAUGACCAGGCCAAGGAGGGCAUGUCCUCGUCUUCUAAUAGCAGGUAUUGAAUUCAUUCUGACUUUUCCUGUGACAGGCUGUGGAUGGAGUUCAAUCCAGCACUCAGAGGAAAGGUUGGGACAAAGAUUCAAUUUGCUCAUCAUAAUAAAUGGAUUAGAUUCAUCUUGGCACUGAUUUCCUCAUUUAGCAAUACCUGGACAUGAGAAUACAUUCAAACAGAGUUUUAAGUGACAGCAGUGAGUUUGCUUUUACUAUCACUGUAACGGAAUCAAGAUGGACACGCUGAUUCAAUUGAAGAAACCAAGAAGAACAUAAAUACGUUAUAGAAGUCAUGCAGAAUUGAUGUUUUAAAUUCAGGAGAUAUACUGAACUUUAGCUGAGAGAGCUGUCUAUGCUGCUUAAUGAAUAAAAUCUUCCAAUUGAAAGUACAGCAAUAUAUUGAGGUAACUCACGCUGAAGUGUGCUUCUGAAUUUUUUUCACAAAUACAACUACAUGAAAAAUUGCUAUAGGAGGGAGAUAACAUUCUCAGAAUUUCAUAUCAUAAAUGGCUAUCACUUUCCAAAUAAGGGCAUGGCAACAGUGCUAGAGUGGAGUGGAACGAUUGAUUGACUGGUACAAAGUUUAAUCAGCUUGAGCAGGAUGCAAAUUUGAGUAGCACUACAGUACAACACAGUACAUACCUGGAAUUGCAGUGGAAUAUAAUGGCACUCAUGAGUCCCAGUACAGGCCAUGAUACAUCAGCUCGAGCCUGGAGUGCUCUGAUUUGGGUCCUCACAGUUCUGCUCAUUCCAUCUGAUAAAAUCGAUGGCUGGAAUAUCUUUGCAUAAAAUGCAAAGAACUUCUCUGUUUAUCUAGCCUGGAAGAAAAUCAUAAAUCAUGGAUCUGCUACAAAAAUCAACAAUUGAUCUCAGUGGGCUGUCCCCCUUUUGUAACUCUGCUUUUGUUUGUAUCAGUCAUAGCUAAGUUGGCAAAUUCUUGAGUAUAUCUACGCACCACUCACAGAUAUGAUGUAUGCACACAAGUAUAUGGUCCCUUCUGAUAUGCACUCUCUUCCUUUUUAUAUAUAUUCUUUCUAGGGUACUCUCUUCCUAUUUAUACUAUACUUGUUCCUUGAUGCAUAUUUUAGUCAGAGGAAUAAUAUUUUGUUAAUGAGUAUUUACAGGGGUUAAAAUAGUUUGAACAGUAUGAAAGCACUAUAAUGGGAAUAACUGGUCGUACAUCAAGACAUCACUAACAAGAUUUAAUGUGGAAAUAGCAUCUGUUUCAGUAGUCAUAAACCUACGCUCCUCUUUAACACUAAUCUGAACUCUAGAACAAAUAGCAUCUAUCUCAAAGACAAGGAUUCUAUGAAAGAUUAGAGUCUAAAUUUCACACUUGGACACUUGGUGGUCGCUCUAUGUAAACUGUCAUUUAUUCUACAGCAAUGUCCGCAAGCACUGAACGGGAAGGAGCAAGUAAAGCUGGAUAUAGUGGUGGAGGUGAUGAAGACAUGAGCUAAAGGUUUGAUGGGGGCACUUUAAUCUGGGGUUUGAUAGUCUAAUCUUCUGUGCUAGCUAUUUCCAGGACUCUGUUCAGGGUAGUGUGUGCCUGUUCUACUGCUGACAGAUUUAGUAAUGUGAUGGUAGUUGGUUCUGCUGCUCUUUUAGCAUGCCUCAUAACCCCAAUAUAAACCUUUCACACUUUGUUCUAAAUUUUGAAUAGUUGAGCUUAGGCUUUUAAUCCAAAAAAAGGAAGAAUUCACAUUUCACAAUCAUCAAGCAGUGUUUCUAAGCCACUUAAAUAGAUAACAAUGUUCAUGAUGAGUACAGUUCCCAAUCAGUACAGCAAUGUUCGCGAUCAGUAUGCUUUUAAUCCAAAAAAGCAGAAAAUUUCCAAGGCACUAAAAUUGAUACACUAGACCAUCAAACCUUAUUUGGUGAAGAUGCCGAAACUAUAUUUCCGUCUUCAAAAUAAAAAAACUGAAGGUGAGUGCGGCUCUAACGCUUGUCAAUUCCUCUCAUAAUGAAUCACCUGGAAACACAGAGAGUGAGAGAAAUGGAGAUUUUGCGCGCACAAGGAGAGGGCGAAGACGAAUGCCGGGACGGGGAAAGAGAUUGGGUUGUUACCGCGAAGGAUCUUCCGGUGCAUGAUGAGCCCCUUCCACUCUAUUCCUCCCCACUAGAUCCCUCAUCUCUUUACCAUCCCAGCCUCGGGCAGAGAUCGCAGGCAGCGCCGCGGCAACCAGCAGGUCGAGGCGGCAAGGUGCAUGGAGGGCGUCUCCGGUGGCUCGUCGGCAGCGGAGCUAUUGAACUCGGCGUUCUGAUCCUGCUCGUUGCUCCGGGGCCGUGGCGCUUUGGUGGGUGGGGCGCGCGUAUGGCGGCCGCGGCUGGUAGCGAGACCGAGGAACGGAGCCACGGAGGUGGGGAGUGUGGGAGAGACGGCGUCAGCGUGGGCGUGGGCGGGCCGUUAUGGACUGUGGGCCGAGAAGCUGAUGAACAGUCUUUUACGGCUGAAGGGGAAAGGGAAAGUUGGGUUAUGGAACUGGCGCUAUCUCUUCCCACGUUUUCUUUUUUUUUAUCGCUAUUUUUUCCAUCUUUUUCGUUUUUUUUCGUUUUAUUCGCUUCCCCUCCCAUCGCGUGUUUUUUCUUUAUUUCUUUUUUUUCCGAUUUUUUUAAUCGAUAGCACACAUGUUUUAAAAAUAGUUUACUCGAAAAAGUUUUCAAAUCUUAACUUGAAAGUUUUUCAAUUUGAAGGAAGUUCCAAAUCUCGACUCUCGAGUGGAAAGUUUUUCAAAUAUCAUGUUGAAAAUUUUCAAAUCUUGACUUUUCAAACUCUAGUCCAAAGUUUUCAAAUCUAAGUUGACAGUUUUCAAAUCCCGAGUUGAUUUUUUUUUCUUUUUGUGUUUUUUUCUAUUUUUUUAAUCGAUAGCACAUGUAUUUUCAAAAAUAUUUGAGUCGACAGUUUUCAAAAAGUUUUUCAAUUUGAAGGAAGUUUCAAAUCUCGAUUUGAAAACUUUCAAAUCUAGAUUUGAAAGUUUUCAAUCUCGAGUUGAAAGUUUUCAAAUCUGAGUUGAAAGUUUUUCAAAUCUGAGUUGAAAGCUUUUCAAAUCCUGAGUCGAAAUUUCUUUUUAUCUUUUUAUGUUUUUUUCCGAUUUUUUUAAUCGAUAGCACACGUAUUUUCAAAAGAAAAUUGAGUCGAAAGUUCUCAAAUCUUUAACUUGAAAGUUUUUCAAUUUGAAGGAAGUUUCAAAUCUCGAGUGGAAAGUUUUCAAAUCUCGAGUUAAAAUUUUUCAAAUCUGGAUUUGAAAGUUUUCAAUCUCGAGUUGAAAGUUUUUAAAAUCUCAAGUUGAAAGUUUUGAUAUCUGAGUUGAAAAAGUUUUCAAAUCUGGACUUGAAAGUUUUCAAAAUCUCGAGUUGAAAGUUUUCAAAUUUGAGUUGAAGGUUUUCAAAUCCCGAGUAGAAAGUUUUCAAAUCUCGAGGUGAAAAAUUUCAAAUCUGAGUUGAAAGUUUUCAAAAUUUGUCUUAUACAUUCAAAUUUAGAGUUCAAAAUUUUCAAAGUUUGAGUUGAAAGUUUUCAAAAUUUGACUUCAAAGUUUAAAUCUUAAGUAGAAAGUUUUUAAAACUAAUUUAAAGUUUUCAAUCUGUUGUCGAAACGACAACUACAUACGUCGAAAGACGUGGUUACUUAAUAGUGGUUGGAAAGAAACGAAGUGUAUUAGUUUUUUUUUGGAAUUUCUCUCCUUCCGGUCCCCUUAUUACAUGGCCCUAGGGGGCUAUUUAUAGCCCCAUUACAGAUUCUUACUACUAGGGUUUAGGUUACACUGAGAAAUUUAUAUGGUUGCCCUUAUGAAAGGGACAUUUACAGGGUUACAUAAUGUCAAGGGGGCUUAUGGACCCUUGAUGGGCCGUCGGGCGAUCGCCGGCCCUAUAGCCCCUAAGCUUGAUGGGCCGGAAAGGCUUCUUUGGCCCUUGCAGGGGCGAACUGGACAUGGCGAAGCCGUCUUUCUUCGAGCUGGAUGCCAGGGCGAACUGGCCAUGGCGAAGUCGUCCUUCUUCGGCAGGUACUCACGCGACCCUUCGCCUUGCAUCAUCCUUGGUUCAUAGCCUGCGCCACGGGUUUCGGCAGAUUUGGUCGAAUGGCCUCAUGCCAUCCGCCAACGAGCCCCUCACGGGCAAGGGUGAGAGUGGAGCUUCGGCCGAGACCGUGCAAACCAUGUGGUAUGGUAUGUGGUGCCCCCUUUCGACCGAUGCUCCUACCGAAACCUACACUGCUCCUGCAAAUAAAAUAUUCUUAUUUUUACCGGGCCGGAAGGGAACAGUAUUGGGCUUUCCUUUGACGGGCCUUUUACUGUGCUGCUUGGAUGAUGCGAAUUUACCGUUUCGCCUACCCCUGCGCCAUGUGGCGCUUUAUGGGUUUUUUACUGUGCUGUUCGGAUGAUGGGAUUUUACCGUUACGCCUACCCUUGCGCCAUGUGGCACCUUAUGAUUGGUGGGUAGGCGAAACGUCGGCCUGGUGGGCUAUAUAUUCCCACCCCUUUCUUUUUCACUGCCACACUUGCCACUUUUACUGCGUGCGCUCUCCUCUUCCGUUGUUUCCUUUCACAGCGUCUCUUGAACUCAUUGGCGCUUCGCCUACCCUCUUGUUUCGCCACUUCCCACACACCUUUCGCCACGGCCCCUCGCAAACCAAACCCUGUUCAGGCGGUCGGACCGGACCCUAGUCGGGUCGACGACGAUAACACCUCCUUUUUGGGGGUCUCUCUUAUGGACGACGACGAGCUGGCGAAGUUGGUCAGCUCUGGGGCGUUGGUUGAGGGGCAGGCUUUCGCCCCAGGGAAAGCGUGGUGCCGAAGCCUGUAGACAACCGGACGGUGGUUUUCACCGUCUUUUUCGAGGCUGGGCUACGGUUUCCAUGCAAUGUGUUGUUGCCGGAGAUCCUUCGCCUCUUCCAGGUGGAACUCCCUCAGUUGAGCCCGUCAGCGCUGGUUCGGAUCUCGAUCUUCGACUGGGCACGCCGGACUUCCGGGUUCGAACCCAACGCUGCCCUCUUCGGCGCCAUAUUCUUUGCCACCGUGAACUCGAAGACGGUGGUUACUCCGGCUGGAACAAAGAAGACGGUGUUCGGGAGUGUGAACUUUAACAUUCGCCCCGAACGGUCCGACCUCUGGCCGGUGAACGCUGCCAUGUCGAAGUGGGACCGCCAUUGGAUGGCGAGGUGGUUCUAUCACACCAUCCCCUUCGAAGCCGGCUCUGACUCGGCGAAAGCUCUUCGGUGCCGGCGCAGGGUUAUCGUGCCGAAUCGGAAACGCAGGAUCGCCGUGGACGGCGCUAUGGAGGCACGGUUCGCCUUGCUGUGAAAAGUUUGUUCUCGCCUUAGCUGCCGCGACCUGGUGGAGGAAUUCUGCAUGCUUCGCGUCUUUCCCCUCUCCCAAUCAUGGCAGGUUACAGUUGAUCCGAGCGAAGAGGUUGAUGGCUUGCCUAAGCUGGUCCUCCUUGAGGGAAUGAACAGUAAGACUGCUCUUUUCGCUAUACACUCCCGUGUUUUUACUAUUUUGCCUCGUUUGACUUUCAACAUGACUCCCCCUCCUUGCCUUUACAGUGCUAACCCUCGACCAAGCUGAGGCCGAAGCCCGCAAGAUGAUCGGCGAUGUGUCGGUCGUCGAGUACAGCCAGUUGCUGACACGGCAGGCAGUUGGUCGAGCGAACUAGGUUUACAAUGGCGAGUUGCCUCCUCGGGCGAAUCCCCACAAGACCAAUGACGAAGCAGGACCUUCGCGGAAGCACACGCGCGGUCAGGUAAAGCUUGCCCCUAGGAAGCAUAGGGCUCCUGCUUCGUCGGACUCUGAUGCUGAUGACGAGGAGGAUGCUGAAGGACGUGACGGCGAAGAGGAAGGGGGGGAAGAAGAGGAGGUGGAGACCGUGGUUGAAAAGGCCAAGGGCGAGGCGGUUGAGGGCCGCGCUGUGACUCCCGGCUAUACCCCCACUCCGAGUCCUGGCCAUAACGAGACCGGGGUGGAGUCGAAUAGCUCCCCCCUUCGCCAAAAAUACUUAGACGGGGCGAAGGCCCUGGUUGCGUUUUCUUCGGGCAAAGCGGCGAAGGGAGGUCUUGUCAAGAAGGUGGCUAAGAAAAAAGGACUCGUUGAUGUCGCUCGUGUUUUUAGCGGCGAUGAGUCCUCUGACGGGACUCCGACUUCGCCCGCUGGCCGCAGCUUGGAUCUUUCGGCUGCCCCCGUUCCUCCACUCGGCGCCGCUGGAGCAGGCGGUAGUACUGCCGCUGGGGCUUCGGCCUCUGCGGAAAGAAUCAUGACAGCCGCAGCAAAAGUAUUCGGCAGUCCUCUAUGUCAGCUGGUUGCGUCGCCGCUGAUUGAGGCGAAGGGAAAGAGAGCGGUCGUCGAGACAUCUGCUUCGGAAUACUCGCUCGCGGUACCCCGCUUCGCCCCUGGCGACUUCGAGACACAGGCGGACCUCCUUCCUUUUGUGGAGGGGGUAAGCAAUCUUGUAUUGCCUGCCAGUGCCCUAAGCUUGUUCACCGAACUGAAUGAGUUCGAUGAGGGGUGCUCUGCUAUAAAAAGCCUGGCGGUUCGGGUACGUCUUCCCCCCAACUUAUACCUCGUGGCUCUGAUUUGCAAGCGCUUUGCUUCUGCUUCGUCGUCCGGAAGCCAACCAGUUUCAAGAUAUUUAACAAACGGGGUUCGCGAGUCAUUUGGGUCUUCUCCCAACUUCACUUGGUCGAUUGCCAAGACCGUCAAACUGUCCACAGGCACACUUGGUGUGUGCAGUACUUCGAAAAAUAUGCCAGGCAAAUGCGGUCCGCCACAAGCAGCAGAUUUCGCCAAGGCGUUUGCUUCCUCGUUCUGGCCCCUAGGCAAGUGUUCAACAGUUAUGCCGGUGAAGUACUUUUCCAUGGUUCGGACAGCCUCUAAAUAUUUUUUUCAUUCCUUCUUCUUUUGCCUCAAAGGAUCUAUCAACAUGGCCUGCCACCAACUUAGAAUCGGUUCGGAUUAGCAAGCGCUGAACUCCCAGUGCUUUCGCCUUUCUUAGGCCUAGAAGAAUGGCUUCGUAUUCUGCUGCGUUGUUGGUUGUGUUAAACUGCAGCCUUGCGGCGUACCAAACUGGGAUGCGAUUCGGCGAAAUGAGUAUUGCCGCAAUGCCUGCCCCCUUGUGCGACCACGAACCGUCGGAGCACAUUACCCAGGGUUGUUCGACGGGCUCGGGUUCAGAGGCGAAUACUGGUGUCCAUUCGGCUACGAAGUCAGUUAGCACUUGAGACUUAACAGCAGUGCGUGCAACAAAAUGCAAGUCGAACGGGGAUAGCUCUGCCGCCCAUUUGCUAAGCCUGCCUGAGAUUUCCUUGCCUCGGAGUAUUUCGCCCAAGGGGUACUGUGAAGGCACUAUUACUUUGUGGGCCUGGAAGUAGUGCUUGAGCUUGCGCGAAGCCAUCACCAGGGCGUAAGCGAGCUUUUCCAUUUCGAUGUAUCUUGCCUUCGCCCCUUGCAGUGCUUCGGAGACAAAAUAAACCGGUUUCUGGCCGAACUCUGUUUCUUGGACGAGGGCAGCACUGACUGCCACUGGUGAAGCUGCUAAGUAUAGCAGCAGUUCGCUUCCUAGUGUUGGGCUUAUGAGGGCUGGUGGGCUUUGCAAGUAUUGCUUUAGCUCGUCGAAUGCUGCUUGGCAUUCUGGUGUCCAACUGAACUUUCCCAUGCCCCGGAGGGUCUUGAAGAAUGGCAGACCUCUUUCGGCCACCUUUGGGAGGAACCGGCUAAGUGCCGUAAUUCGGCCUGCAAGCUUUUGUACCUCAUGUACACUUGACGGGGGCUUCAUUUGCUGAAUGGCGUCGAUUUUCUCGGGGUUCGCUUCGAUGCCUCUUUCGGAAACCAGGAAACCCAGCAACUUGCCCGCGCGAAUGCCGAAGACACACUUCUCAGGAUUCAGUUUUAUGCCCGCUGCGCGCAAGUUGUCGAAGGUCUCCUACAGGUCGGACGCAUGAUCGAAAGCCUUACGGCUUUUUACAACAAUGUCGUCAAUGUAAGCUUCCACAUUUCGCCCGAACUGGUUGUAAAGGACCUUGUACACUAGUCUGGCGAAGGUUGCUCCGGCGUUCCUCAGGCCGAAAGGCAUCCUGAGGUGACAGAAAAUGCCCAACAGGGUGAUGAAUGCUGUUUUCGGGAUGUCGGGCGGGUUCAUAUGGAUCUGGUGAUAGCUGGAAUAUGCGUCCAGGAAACUCAUGAGUUCGUAGCCAGCUGUUGAAUCCACGAGCUGAUCAAUCCGCGGCAAAGGGAAAUCGUCUUUCGGACAUGCUUUGUUCAGGUCCGUGAAAUCUACACACAUGCGCCAUUUGCCGUUUGACUUCCGCACCAGUACUGGAUUCGCCAGCCACUCUGGGUGGUCAAUCUCUUGAAUGACCCCAGCCCUGAGUAGUUUUUGGACUUCGGCUUUCGCCGCCUCUUGACGAUCGGCGGACAUCUUACACAACUUCUGCUUUCUUGGCUUGGCAUCCGGCUUGAUUGCCAGUUGAUGCAUGAUGAGGUCUGUUGAAACAACCCCCACUUCGUCGGGGCUCCAGGCGAAGAUAUCAAUGUUCUUCUUGAGCACCGCUAGGAUGCCCUCAGCUUCUUGUUCGCCCAUGCCGUCCCCCAGCGAUAUGAGCUUUGCGGGGUCGGCAUCGUCAAUCUGCACUUUUACUAUCUUGCUGUGAGGGGUGGGUUUUGGCGCGUGUUUCGGCCGGCUGUGCAAUUCGGCUUCGACAUUGUGCACAGCCCUGUUGAUUAUGGCCAGAUCGCCUUUUGACGUGGCCGAAGGCUGAAGCCCCUUGACCACUAUCACUCCCGCUGGGCCGGGUAUCUUGAGCUUGAGAUAGUUGUGGUGGGAAAUGGCUUCGAACUGGUUCAGGGUCGCACGGCCGAGGAUGGCAUUGUAGUUGUACGGGAUGUCGACGACAUCGAACAGUACUUGCUCUUCGCGUCUGUUUUCUCCCGAGCCGAAAGCUAUCAGCAAAAGUGCUUGGCCAAGAACUUGAACUGCCUCUCCGCCAAACCCCCGGAGCGACGCUGGUGCUGGUGUAAGAGCUUGGGUGGGCAACUGUCACGCCCAGAAAUUCCCGAAUAGAAUUCCAAGCAGAAUGUGCAUUAAAAUCCCCGUCCAGAACCGGCCGGGGUACACAAACGACAAUAUCGACAUUCAGAUCCAUGUCUUACAAACAUCACAAAAGUCUUACAUAAAUGCAGCGGAAAGAAAGAAAGACAACAGGAGCUAAGCCUUGACUAGAACUGCAGCGGGAACACCACUCCACAGGCAUCCUUUCUACACACUUUGUCCUCACUCCUUAGGCACAUGAUCUAUUCCUUCACACAAGAAACAUGUGACCUUCCUUAAAGGGCAUGCAUCUGAGUAAUGGGUAUAUUCACCACAGCGGCAUGUGGGGAGGCAUAAACUAGCAGUGUGUCCGACUAUCCCACAUCUAGCACAUGCUUUGAACUUCAACUCUCUUUCCUUGAAACUGUUAAGGGUCGUAUCAUCAUCGUCAUCAGUAGAAAACCGUUCUCCUGAUUCAUCAUCUUCGGGUCUGGGCGGACCGUACUUUAUGAGAUGUCGGGUUAGCUGGCGUGCUCCACGGAAGGUAUUUCUUCCUCUCUGACGCUUGGGUAUCCUUGCUGCGUCUUCAGGAGUAAAUUCUGAACUGGUGAUGAUCAUGGUCCUGCCAUGAUCAAGUGAAUUAUUGAGGGAAUUAAAAAUUUCCUUUAAAAAUCAUUGGCCAAGAAUAUUUUGUAAUAUUCUGUGCCCUAAUGCACUCUCCGGAAUUUUCCGUGAAUUUUCGGAGCUCGAGAAAUAGUUUUAAUAGCACAAAGAUCAUUGCAUCAAUGAUCUAAAGUUGUAAAACCACCUAAUGUUACCUAAUUAAACAACGUAGCAUCUACCUAAAAUCAUACUAGUGAUACUAUGAGUAGAGUAUCCACUAGUUGGGGUUUUGUUUCGAUCUAGGGUGAACAAGGUAUUAAUAACAAUAACAAUAAUAAUAAGGUCAUCACAAAGGUAAAUAGGCAUGGCUAAAUAAAACAGUGAUAACGUGGGAAUUUAAAUAAAGCGGUAAUGCAAUAAUCUUAAAUUAAAAUAAUUUCAUAAACUGGGAUUCAAUAUGUUCAAGAAUGAUGUUACUUGCCUUGCUCGCUUUCCCAAACGUCGGCUUCAACUUCCACGAAAAGCGGAUCUUCCGAAGCUGCAGCGUCUACACGACCAACGGAAAAGAAAAGGCUUUUACUCUAAUAAACUCCAUAUAACAAGAUGAAACAAAGCAUAAAAAUGGGUUCUUGACUUCUUAAGGAAAAAUUAGAGACUUGAACGGUCCAAUUCCGAAUUCAAAUGGCCAAGUUAUGGCCAUUUGAAGUUUAUAUGCUCUUUAAAUGAAUAUUUGCGAAUUUCUUCAUUUAAAUUUUAAUUUAAAAAUGGAUUUAUUGCGUCAGCCGAGGGGAGGGGCGCGCGGACCGGGUCCACAGGAGUGGGGCCCACGCGGCAGCCCCACGGUCCAUGGUGGACCGGGCGCACCCGGGCUCACACCGGCCGGCGCCGUGGGACCCACGCGUCAGCCGCACCUAAGGGCGCGGGCGGCUGACAGCCGGGCCCCACGCGGCAGCCGCUCGGUGCGCCCGAAGGCGACCACGCCGGCGCAGCGGCAGGAGGCGGCGCGCCCGCGCCCCUAUGGUCGCCGGCGGCGGCCAUAGGCACGGCGAAGCGGCGGCCGAGAGAGGGGAGGGAAGGGGGGAAACGAAGCGGCGGUCCACGGCUCACCCCGGGUCGACGGCGACGACGGAAACGGCGGCGGCGCGGCUCGGGUGGACGGGGUCGACGGUGCUCCGGCGGUCGGCGACCGAAACGGAGAGGUGGACGAGGUCGGCGAGGAUGCGGCAAAGCCGAAGGAGGCGGCGCCGAGGUGGGAGGUGGUCCGGGGCGACGACGGCGGCGGACCGGAGCUCGACGGCGACGGCGGAGAGAGAGAGCGACGGCGCGAGCUCAAUUCCGGCGGGGAGAGAGGGCGGUGAGUGGCGGAAACGGUGGAGGGAGGCACGGGGAGGGUUUAUAUAGGGUUGGGGGUGAGAGGGGGCGGCCGGAGGAGGGGGAAACGGGCGCGGGAGACCCGGCCGCCAUUAAUGGCGCCGGCGAGGUUAGGGGAGGAGUUUCCAAACGAAUCCGAGGGAGAGAGAGAGGGAAAAAUGGGGGGAAAGGGGGAGGGGAUCCCAGGGAAUAUUUCCCCCCUAUUGAUUGCACGUGGGGAGGACGGGGGCGGCGGGAUUCGCGGCGGCGGCGGCGCUAGGGCGCGGGCGAGGCGGCGGGAGCGGCGGGAGGAAGGGGAUGACGGGUGGGCCCCACCCGUCAGCGAGGGUGGCAGGCGGGCCCGCCCGUCAGCGGCACGCGUGCGGGGAGGAGGCCGAAUGGGCCGCGGGGGGGGAGAGGAGAGAGGGGAAGAGAGAUGGGCCGAGCCGGCCCAAGAGGGGGAGGGGGAAAAAAGGACUUUUUAGAGCUUUUCUUUUUAUAAAACCAUUUUAACUUUGUUUACUUCUUAAUAAUUAUUAUUUGUGCUCUGAAAAUUCCACUGAAAUUUAUUUACGCAUUUUAGGCUUUUAGGAAAUAUACAAAAAUCCUCCAAGCCUUAUUUGACUUUUAACUUUGCACAUUUUAAUUGUUGGAGGCUUUCACACGGAUUUUAAUUAUUCUAGGCAUAAUUUAAAGGAUAUAUUUUAGGGUCGUUUUGGGACGCGACAAACCUACCCCCCUUAAACGGAAUCUCGACCCCGAGAUUCGGAAGAACUGGCGAAGAGAUCGGGAUGGGCUGCCUUCAGCUCGUCUUCACGCUCCCAAGUAGCUUCUUCUUCGGCGUGGAUGCUCCAUUGGACCUUGCAAAAACGGAUUACCCGGUUCCUGGUCCUGCGCUCCAUGGUGUCCAGGAUUUUCACUGGCCUCUCCACGUAGGUCAAGUCUUCGCGAACUUCAAUUUGCUCUAAGUCGGCCUGCUCAGAUGGCACUCGAAGACAUUUCUUGAGUUGCGACACAUGGAACACAUCAUGCAUGUUGCCCAAGGAGGCGGGCAGCUCCAACUGGUAAGCGACUUCUCCACGCCGAGCAAUGAUACGGAAAGGACUCACGAACCGAGGUGCGAGCUUCCCUUUCGUCUGAAACCUGUGUACACCUCGCAAUGGCGUGACCCGAAGGUACACAAAAUCAUCCACUGCGAAUUCCAGGUUACGGCGACGGUUAUUUGCAUAACUUUUCUGCCGGGACUGUGCCACCUUUAGAUUAUCCCGAAUGGUUCUGACCUUCGCUUCAGCUUCUCUCAGUAUAUCAGUCCCGAACACUUGGCUUUCCCCAACUUGGUCCCACAAGAGCGGUGUCCGGCAUUUGCACCCAUACAACGCUUCAUAAGGUGCCAUUUGUAUACUGGCUUGGUAGCUGUUAUUGUAGGAGAACUCGGCAUAGGGGAGACUCUUAUCCCAGGUCUUCCCGAUAUCUAGGACACAUGCGCGAAGCAUAUCUUCUAGGAUCUGAUUUAGACGCUCGGUCUGUCCAUCUGUCUGCGGGUGAUACGCGGUGCUGAAAUUUAAUCGGGUACCCAGCUCUUCUUGGAGCUUCUUCCAAAAGUGAGAGGUGAAUUGGCUUCCCCUAUCAGAUACAAUUUUCUUAGGAACGCCAUGGAGACUCACGAUCCUAGCGAAGUAGAGCUCGGCUAGUUUGUUCCCUCCAUAGGUGGUCUUCAUAGGAAUAAACCGAGCUACCUUGGUUAAUCGGUCCACAACUACCCAUAUAGAAUCAUAUCCACCUUGGGUUUUUGGGAGUCCGGUGAUGAAAUCCAUCCCAAUUUCAUCCCAUUUCCAUUCUGGUACUUGGAGAGGUUGGAGAAGUCCGGCCGGUCGUUGGUGCUCUGCCUUGACACGCUGGCACACAUCACAAAGGGCCACGAACUCUGCAAUUUCCCGCUUCAUACUAACCCACCAGUAUUUCUCCUUCAAGUCUAAGUACAUCUUCGUACUGCUAGGGUGGAUGGAAUAAGGACUUUCGUGAGCUUUCCCAACACCAGACGGAGAUGGUGCUGAUAGUCUUCCUCUGAUUGUGAGUAUACCAGAAUGUCAUCAAUGAAAACCACAACAAACUUAUCCAAGUAUUCCAUGAACACUUUGUUCAUUAAGUUCAUGAAGAAGGCAGGAGCAUUGGUUAAACCGAAUGACAUCACCGUGAAUUCAUACAGUCCGUAUCGCGUGGUGAAUGCGGUCUUCGGAAUAUCUUCUUCACGGAUGCGCAACUGGUGAUAUCCGGAAUGAAGAUCAAUCUUGGAGAAUACCGUGGCACCUUUAAGCUGAUCGAACAGAUCAUCGAUCCGGGGAAGAGGGUACUUGUUUUUGAUGGUGACUUCAUUGAGAGCUCUGUAGUCAACGCACAUCCUCUUCGUCUUGUCUUUCUUCUCCACAAAAAUCACAGGAGCACCCCAGGGGGAAGUACUCGGACGUAUGUACCCCUUUUCUUUCAACUCUUCCAACUGUUUCUUAACUUCGGCCAGUUCAUUUGCUGCCAUACGGUAGGGUCGCUUGUACCGAGGAGUGGUUCCUGGAGCAAGAUCUAUCCGGAACUCAAUCUCUCGCUUGGGCGGCAUACCGAGUAGUUCUUCCGGAAACACGUCUCCGAACUCUCUGACGAUGGGGAUUUCUGACAGUCCUAUCUGAUGAAGUUCUGAACUACUGACAGAGGUUGGGGGUGCAAAGAAAACAACCGGUUGUUCCGGCCCUCGGUACAGAGUGACAGUGCGUCUUGCACAAUCCACUAAUCCUUGGAAUUGAGCCAACCAAUUCAUCCCAAGGAUCACAUCCAAGUUCUUGGUGUCUAGGAGAAUCAGAUCCGAGGGAAAAGGAAUUCCUUGAAUUUCUAUAGGGACGGUAGGGCUAUAAUACUUUGCUGUCAUAACCCCUCCAGGGGUGGUGAUGAGCAGAGGGUUCCUAAGCCUUUCUACCCCCAACUGAUUUCUCCCCACGAAUGGCACAGAUAUAAACGAGUGGGAAGCUCCAGAGUCGAACAAAAUGGUAGCAGGGAUGGAAUGAAUGAGGAACGUACCAACGAUGACGUCUGGAGUUGUCAGCACGUCCUCGGCCGUCACGUGGUUCACACGACCCCGAAUGACAUCCUUACCACCGUUGUUGGAGCGGGGAGGCGCUUGGCCUUGCUGGCGCCUCGGCUUUGGGCAUUUAUCCGCAAAGUGCCCAGGCUCGAAGCAGUUGAAGCACAGACGCUGCGGACCUUGAACGUCCCUGCGGCCUUGACCAGACUGCGCGGCUGGCGUAGGAGGACGGGGCGCACAGGUCCCUUGCUGGCUCUGCUGUUGCUGCGGCUGUGGGACGCGCACCACGAAUUGAGGUCGGGGCGCGGAGCGUGGUUGCUGCUGCUGCUGCGAGGACGAUCCCCCUGGAUAGGGAUUGGUGUAGCGGAUCCUUUGGUUAGCUCCCUGUUGAUUGCGGAAAUUCGCCAAGCGGCGCUUGUGCGACUCCAGUUCCUUGUGCUUGGCUUCCAAGCGGAUGCUCUUGUCCACCAGACGUUGGAAAUCCGGAUAGUCACCGGAGACUAGACGCACGGACAGCUCAGGGUCCAUUCCUGCCAAGAACUUCUUCUGCCUUUCCUCAUCUUCCCGUACAUCCUCCGGGGCGUACCGGGCCAGGUUGUUGAACUCAUGCAAAUACUCCAUCACGGAGCGGUUGCCUUGCUUCAACUCCCGGAAUUCCCUUUUCUUAAGGGCCAUGACUCCGGCGGGCACAUGGGUUCUCCGGAAGGCGGCGGUGAAGCGGGCCCAAGUAAUAGGCUGUCCCUCUGGCUGCGUAGCCUGGAAAUGGUCCCACCAUAGAGAUGCGGGCCCCUGCAGUUGGUGGGCGGCGAAGAUGACUUUCUCCUCAUCGCUGCACUGCACGGUGUCUAGCUUUUUCCCCACGGCAUGCAACCAAUCCAACACAUCCACGGGGUUGUUGGAGCUAGAGAAGGUAGGUGGACGGAUGCGGAGGAACUCGGCGAGUUUAGAGUGUUGUGGGGGUGGUGGUGGAGCAUUCUGUUGUGGCGGAUUUUGGAGGUGGUGGAGGAAAGCAGUCAUCAUGUUGGCCUGCUGGGCGAGGAUUUGGGUGAGAAUGGCGUUGGUGUCUGGUGGUGGUGGUGGAGGCGGAGGAGGAGGUGGAGGUGGGCUGCCAUGGUUGUUGUGGUUGCUGCCUUCGGGUUGGUUGCCAUCACCGGUGUUAGCACUUCUCCUGGUCGUCACCAUCUGAAAACCCCACACAGAACCAGCAAACAGAGAGAGCUGACAAUUAAAGCUAACCACCCACGACUACCAUAAUUCUUGAAUUUAUUACUGCUAUUAAAUUGGUUCAUUAAAGUUCAAGUUGCUUCAGCAAAUAAAAUAAAGACAGGCUCCGACACAGUUAUACCACACACCGGCAUAACCAUGCCCCACACGACUCCAACAAGAAGACAAACGAGAAAGAACACACGCGCAAGCCUACUAACUGCUCGUCUACCGCUGCGACGGGCCAGGACAGAAGGUGAGCAACAGUGCAUCCUCCGUGCUACCAACGCCGGAGGCUUCCCCCUCCUGAGGAACCACGGGCGCGGGCUCGGCACGAGGGGUCUCAACGAAGCAAGUCCACGCCAGGGACUGACGAACAAGCUCAGGCCUGGAGGUGCUCUUGCGGGCGGUGAUCUUCUGGCUGCGGCAGACGCGGCGGCGCUUGGGGCGACAGACCUCUCCAUGGGCGAUCUUGAGCUGAUGCAGCUGCGCCUCCACUGCGUCUAGGUCCUUCUUCAGCUGCAGAUUCUCCUGACGCAGCUCCAGGAUCUUCAUGCUAUUCUCGACCAUCCCACGGCGCACCAUCUGAUGGAAGUCGAUACGAGCCGCGUCGUACGCCUCCACCAUGCGCGCCAGAUGCAUGAUGGUAGCGUCAUCCUCCGAGCUAGCAUCCCGGAAGGUGGCGUAGUCGCGGGCUCCUCCGCAGCGAGGGUGGUAGCGGUAGGGUGAGUGCUGCAACUCGUACGGGUAGCGCUGGUGAAGAGUGCCGAUGGCGAGGAGAGCGGCGUUCUGGCAAGCGGCGGAGAAAGAAUCUCCACCCGCGGUGACUGCCAACGAAGUCCUCUCGGGUGAGCCCGUGAGGAUCACCGCAGUAACCUCCCAAGCAGCGUGGGGCUCUGCAUCGUCACCCUCCUGCUCCGGGAGCUGCCUGCCCUAGUAGUCCACUCCAUGCGGAUACCCCAAGACAACGCACAUGCCCCGCAGCUCCAAAACGAAACCAGUCAGGUCCAGACCACGACGGUUGAUGCUGCCGGCCAUCUACAAACAAAAACAAGAAGAAAAGCAACAUUUUAAAGGUCAGAUUUUGGCGAUAAAUGAAGCAGCAGGACAGAGAGAGACUAGAGGAUUUUCACAAUUAAGACAGGAUUUUUAUUUUUGAAAAUAUUGCUAAGGCUUGGGAUCUAAGGCUCGUCCUACGGUCAAGGGGGCUCUGAUACCAACUUGUCACGACCGGAAUUAACCCAACGGGCGUUCCAUACGUGCGUGCAUUAUUCCUUGUCCCAGGAGGCAAGGUACACCAAAAGUUGAUACAGUUCAGAGUUCAACAAGCGGAAGCGUAAAUAGUUAAUUUAUUACAUGGGCAGCGAAGGCCCAGCACACACAAAGACAAACGAGAAACAACGGAAGACUAGGGCGACGACCACAGGCGCUUGACGGCAGGCACGAGCUAGACACCAAAGCCUUCAUCUUCCUGAGGCCCCUCUUCUGGGUUUGGGAAAAAUUGAGCAAGACUGAGUACAACCACCGUACUCAACAAGACACACCCACAAGUGCAGAAUAAAUGCAAGGGAGUACAAGGGAGUUACAAUAUAAAGGGUUAGGGUUUGCAGUAAACAGCAUUAUAAGACACUUAGUUGCUCAAAUCUAUUUUGUAAACACGAUUCUAGAACUAUACAAUAUUAUUAAUCAAGGCCGUGAACCCACACGAACCUGCCUUAACCCAAGGCCUACGAUGAUUUAGACCGACCUGGCAACCCGACCCUGGGUCCCAGCUCGUCCCAAGCCAACCCAGGCCAACCAUUCCUCCUUUUAGUUGUUAAGCAGGUUUUAAGAAUGAAAACACUAACUUGGGUACAUUGCUCGGCUUGCCCAUAACCGAGGGCGCGGCUAUUCGAAUAGGUUAUACUCUGAUCAGAGGUGUACAUCUUUACCCACAAGACACAUCUUCCUCACGUGUAACCACGUGCCACAUACCACCACGGUAUACAGACGGAAGACGUGACAUAGUUUCCAACCCAUCCUAGCCAUAGACAAGAGUACCGACCCAAUCCCACCUACGGCCGGAACCCCCGGGACAGGUAGGCAGGACUGAGCCCCUAGCAGCAGGACACCGGCCCUGUGCCAUGACAUCUCGACUACCGGGCCGCAGCUCGUGUAGCCUUCAUUUGUCCUAGAGAUGUCCAUCGACCCCCGACUUCAUCCAUCUCCAUCCGUGUACUUUUGUUUAUAACCAGACUGAGCCACAAACUAAACCUUACCCACUAGACAUGUGGAAGUACGGUAGUGCUUUGCAACAGAGGCCCGAAGACCGGUCCUUAUAUGGCCGAGGUGCUACUAUCAAAACCAUGCACCCCGAGCCCAGCCUAAAACCAUUUUCAGGAUUUUGAAUAGAGGGGAAUGUGUGAAUCCAAUUCCACAAUAAUUCAACAAUUCUAGUGUGUCCAGGUGAUGAGAAUAUCCCAAAGUCUAAAGUUGUAAAACCACCUAAUGUUACCUAAUUAAACAGCGUAGCAUCUACCUAAAAUCAUACUAGUGAUACCAUGAGUAGAGUAUCCACUAGUUGGGGUUUUGUUUCGAUCUAGGGUGAACAAGGUAUUAAUAACAAUAACAAUAAUAAUAAGGUCAUAACAAAGGUAAAUAGGCAUGGCUAAAUAAAACAAUGAUAACGUGGGAAUUUAAAUAAAGCGGUAAUGCAAUAAUCUUAAAUUAAAAUAAUUUCAUAAACUGGGAUUCAAUAUGUUCAAGGAUGAUGUGACUUGCCUUGCUCGCUUUCCCAAACGUCGGCUUCAACUUCCACGAAAAGCGGAUCUUCCGAAGCUGCAGCGUCUACACGAACAACGGAAAAGAAAAGGCUUUUACUCUAAUAAACUCCAUAUAACAAGCUGAAACAAAGCAUAAAAAUGGGUUCUUGACUUCUUAAGGAAAAAUUAGAGACUUGAACGGUCCAAUUCCGAAUUCAAAUGGCCAAGUUAUGGCCAUUUGAAGUUUAUAUGCUCUUUAAAUGAAUAUUUGCGAAUUUCUUCAUUUAAAUUUUAAUUUAAAAAUGGAUUUAUUGCGUCAGCCGAGGGGAGGGGCGCGCGGACCGGGUCCAUGGGAGUGGGGCCCACGCGGCAGCCCCACGGUCCACGGUGGACCGGGCGCACCCGGGCUCACACCGGCCGGCGCCGUGGGUCCCACGCGUCAGCCGCACCUAAGGGCGCGGGCGGCUGACAGCCGGGCCCCACGCGGCAGCCGCUCGGUGCGCCCGAAGGCGACCACGCCGGCGCAGCGGCGGGAGGCGGUGCGCCCGCGCCCCUAUGGUCGCCGGCGGCGGCCAUAGGCACGGUGGAGCGGCGGCCGAGAGAGGGGAGGGAAGGGGGGAAACGAAGCGGCGGUCCACGGCUCACCCCGGGUCGACGGCGACGACGGAAACGGCGACCGGAGCGGAGGAAGGCGGCGGCGCGGCUCGGGUGGAUGGGGUCGACGGUGCUCCGGCGGUCGGCGACCGAAACGAAGAGGUGGACGAGGUCGGCGAGGAUGCGGCGAAGCCGAAGGAGGCGGCGCCGAGGUGGGAGGUGGUCCGGGGCGACGACGGCGGCGGACCGGAGCUCGACGGCGACGGCGGAGAGAGAGAGCGACGGCGCGAGCUCGAUUCCGGCGGGGAGAGAGGGCGGUGAGUGGCGGAAACGGUGGAGGGAGGCACAGGGAGGGUUUAUAUAGGGUUGGGGGUGAGAGGGGGCGGCCGGAGGAGGGGGAAACGGGCGCGGGAGACUCGGCCGCCAUUAAUGGCGCCGGCGAGGUUAGGGGAGGAGUUUCCAAACGAAUCCGAGGGAGAGAGAGAGGGAAAAAUGGGGGGAAAGGGGGAGGGGAUCCUGGGGAAUAUUUCCCCCCUAUUGAUUGCACGCGGGGAGGACGGGGGUGGCGGGAUUCGCGGCGGCGGCGGCGCUAGGGCGCGGGCAAGGCGGCGGGAGCGGCGGGAGGAAGGGGAUGACGGGUGGGCCCCACCCGUCAGUGAGGGUGGCGGGCGGGCCCGCCCGUCAGCGGCACGCGCGCGGGGAGGAGGCCGAAUGGGCCGCGGGAGGGGAGAGGAGAGAGGGGAAGAGAGAUGGGCCGAGCCGGCCCAAGAGGGGGAGGGGGGAAAAAGGACUUUUUAGAGCUUUUCUUUUUAUAAAACCAUUUUAACUUUGUUUACUUCUUAAUAAUUAUUAUUUGUGCUCUGAAAAUUCCAUUAAAAUUUAUUUACGCAUUUUAGGCUUUUAGGAAAUAUACAAAAAUCCUCCAAGCCUUAUUUGACUUUUAACUUUGCACAUUUUAAUUGUUGGAGGCUUUCACACGGAUUUUAAUUAUUCUAGGCAUAAUUUAAAGGAUAUAUUUUAGGGUCGUUUUGGGACGCGACACCCGGCCACCGCUUCCUCUCCUCCGGGAACCACUGAAAUCGCCCUCUCUGUGCCCCGGUCGUCCCGGUCACCGUCCGCCGCCUUGCGCCCGUGGUACGCCGCCGGACCACCGUUGCCUCCCCGAGGAGCCCGCCGCCGGCUUCCCCGUUGUAGUCUCGCCGUCACCGCCCUUGGUGAGCAUCCCUCCUCUCCUCCCCGUGCCGUCGCCGGCCGUCGUCGCCGAUGGCCGCGCUGCCACGCGCCAUCGCUCGGCUGGGGCGGCCUGAGCCGUGCCGUGCCCCAGCCGCGCCGAUCCGGGCCGUCGGUUCCCGUGGACCGGUGGUGGACCGCCUCGGUGGUCCCGGUCCACGGUGGACCGGCGCCCUUGUGUCGCUGACCGGUGGGGCCCGCUUGCCGGCGCCGCCUCUCCCCCAUGAUGACGUCAGCAUCCCCUUUUCCUUUGGAAGAAUAAUUAUUAAUCGCGUCAUAAAUCGUAUUUAAUUCUAGAAAUUCAUAUAAAUGGCUCAAAACUUCUAAAAUUCAUAUCUAAUUCAUUCGAACUCCGAAUUGGGCCAUUCAAAUUGCAAAAUUCAUCUAAAAUUGAGUCUACAUGUUUGUUUAGUUUUUAUGUACUGUUUCCUUGGUUUUUAUUAGAGUUUUUCCUCGUUUUGCGUGCCAGCGUGUAGUUCCCGUCGUUUCGGAAGAUCGCGGUCGCAAGGAUAAGAGUUCGGAAGAUUGUUUGAAGAAGCAAGGCAAGUCACACAUUCCCCUUGAGCAUGUUGAUCCCAAUUUACAAAUGUUUUACUGUUUGCAAAUAAAUAUGCAUGUUUUGCUAAUUACAUGGGAUCCGGGUAUUACCUAUUUGCUCGCUUGUGUCAUGUUUACUUGAUAUCUGUUCUUUGUCAACCAUGGGUAAUAAAUCACCUAGCGUAUGUUACUUAUGUGACCUAGCUAGAACUAUAUGCUUAGCCAUGCUUAAUUACCACUAGCUCAGUCGAUGGGAUAAUUGCAGUAUUAGACAUUCUAGUAUCUUGUUGAGCUGCGUGCUCGAGACAUCUGGCGAUCCUAGCGGGGCUUCAGCUCCACUCCAUAGGCAAAACUCAACUGGGGUCUGAGCCUUGGUCUUCCAACAUCAUCUUCAGCUCAGAAGCACUACACUUCUGAAAAGGGGGAAUAAUAGCAAGGCUGAGUACCACCACCGUACUCAGCAGGCCACACCAACGAUGCAGACGUGCAAGGGGACUCAAGAAUGACUUGUGGCUAUUUGCAUAAAGGCGGUUGUAAAACAAUUUGUUGAGCAAAACAGUAAAACUGUUGAAUAAUUAAGGGAAAUUAGAUCUCCACUGAUCAACGCUACACCACGUUGAACAGGCCCAACCAACCCACCUAUACUACAGUGUAUUGGGUUGAUUUAUUAAGAUGGGACUAAUCACAGUGAAUCUGGUUGACCGCCCAUAACCGCGGGCACGGCUAUUCGAAUAGUUUUACUCUAAUCAGAGGUGUACAACUGUACCCACAAGACACAGCCCCACGACACGUUUCCGUGCGCCGACAUGCCACCACGACAUACCGGAAAGAGGCCGUGACAGGACCCUUCGCAUAACCCCCUCUAACCAAGCACACCACACCUCAGGUUUCACCCCUACUCCUCGCAAGGCAGCGGGCAGUCCCCUCUCGUGCCUAGGUGAAUCCGGAAGCCGCAGAAGCCGUCGCAGGGCCCAUCCAAACUCCAUCACGCCCACCCUUGCCUGGAUGCGUCGGCUAGAGGAAAGCUACGUUACAAGCCCAGCCGUUGCCCACGCUGGCUUGUGGUAAGUACGAUAAGUUCUUCCAGGGCAUCCCGCGAACCGGUCCUUAACUGCCAUGGGUGCGACCAGCAAAACCAUGCACCCACAGCCCACCAUGUGAUUUAUUUUAAUUAACCAACACCAAAGCGGUGGCACUAAUCCAACAAUGCCAUUAGGACCAACAGUCUAAACAUUAAUAAGAUUUUCCCCAUUGUGCACUAGUUGAACUAAGCAUGGCUAAGCAAUCCCUAGUCCAAUCUCUAGUCAUGUUAUAACCCCAAGCUGACAAAGAGACAUGGUACAACACUAGCAUGGCUAUGACAAUAGGUAAACACCCCAUAGAAACAUUAUAAAACAAUGCAGUAUUUGAAAGAAAACAAUAGAGCAUUUGCAAUAUAGGAUCAACAUGUUCAAGUGACAAGCAUGACUUGCCUUGCUCUGCUGCUGGAGGAACCUCGGCGACUAUUUCGAAGUACACCGGAGCGUCGGAGGAACCAGAAUCUAGCGACAUACAAGGCAAACAUUGCAAAAAGGCUAUAAGACUACUGCAACAGGGAACAAAACCAUUUUUAAUGGAUUCUACACAUUUUUCUUGAUUUACUGAGACUUGAAUGGGCUUAAACGGAGCUCGGAUGAAUUAGUUAUGAAUUUUAGAAGAUUCACUGUGUUUUAUUACUAUAAAAGAAAAACCUUAAAUCAUUCAUUGCGCAAUAAAUCCCAGGGCUGACGUCAGCACGGGGGAGGAGGCGCGGCGCCGACAUGCGGGGCCCACCGGUCAGCGACUCAAGGGGGAGGGCGGUUCACCGCGGACCGGGACCACGCGGGUGGUCCACCGCCGGUCCACCGGACCGACGGCCCAGAUCGCCCUCGGGGUCGAUCGGAUGGGCGGCGGCGACCCGGCUCGGCUUGGCUCAAGGCCGGCCUACCGGCCGCGGCGAUGAUGACGGCGCGCGCGCGCAAACGCGUUGCCGGCGACGGCAUCUGGCGGCGGAGGCGACGGCGCAAAGGCGACGCGAAGGCGGCGGCACUAAGCGGCGGCUAGGAAGGAGAGGGAGGGGAAUGGAUGGGAGAGGAAACCUCACCGAGGGUGGCCGGCGCGGAGGAAGACGACGGCGAAUGGCGACGGCUAGCCACGGGAGGACGACGGGAACCGGCGGACGGGUUUCGGGGUGCCCUAAGGAAGGAAGAGAGAGAGAUUAGAGAGAGGGAGAUGAACCACGGCGACCGGCAUUCAUAGCCGAAGGUGGCGGUAGGGGUUGAACUCACCGGAGCGCGAGGGGAUGCGAAUUCCGGCGACGAAACUCGAGUGGAGUGACAUGAAGAUACACGUAAUCUCCUGCCUCAAAAGUGAGCUCCCUUCGGGGGUUAUCCGCGUAGCUCUUCUGUCGAGACUGGGCAAUCCUCAACCUUUCCCUGAUGAUUCUGACUUUCUCUUCUGCUUCCGCUAAUACCUCUGUCCCGAAUAGUUGACGCUCGCCUGUCUGAUCCCAGAAGAGAGGUGUGUGGCACUUCCGGCCGUAUAAAGCUUCAAACGGUGCCAUCUGUAGACUGGCCUGGUAGUUGUUGUUGUACGAGAAUUCCGCAUAUGGCAAGUUUUUGUCCCAAGCUCCACCAAAAUCAAGAGCGCAAGCUCUCAACAUAUCUUCCCAGAUUUGAUUGACUCGCUCGGUCUGACCAUCAGUUUGCGGGUGAUAGGCCGUGCUGAAAUUUAAACGGGUCCCCAAUUCUUCCUGCAGCUUCUGCCAGAAUUUUGAGGUGAACUGACUCCCUCGAUCAGAUACAAUCUUUUUGGGUACUCCAUGUAGACACAUGAUUCUCGAGAGGUAGAGCUCCGCCAACCUUUUGCCCGUAUACGUGGUAUGUACUGGUAUGAAGUGAGCAACCUUAGUGAGUCGAUCCACGACUACCCAGAUUGAAUCCUGACCCGAUGAUGUCCGGAGCAGUCCUGUUAUAAAGUCCAUUCCAAUCUCCUCCUAUUUCCAUUCCGGGAUUUGAAGAGGUUGGAGCAAACCUGCUGGUCUUUGGUGCUCUGCCUUCACUCGUUGGCAAACAUCGCAGAGUGCGACGAAUUCAGCUAUUUCUCUCGUCAUGCUGACCCACCAAAACUUUUCUUUGAGGUCUUGAUACAUUUUGGUGCUGCCUGGAUGAAUGGAGUACUGGGUCUGAUGAGCCUCGGUGAGUAUCAGAUCCUUCAGUUCCUUGUCGUCAGGUACACACAAUCUUUCUCCCAACCAGAUUAUGCCGUGUUCAUCUUCGUGGAAAUCCCGGGCUUUUCCGACUCUCAUGUUCUUUUUCAGCUCUGCUAUUUCAGAAUCAUUUACUUGAGCUGCUCUGACUUGAUCCACGAGCGUAGGCCGUGCCUCCAGAGCGGCUACGAACCCGUGUUCAACAAUUCCCACGUUGAGAUGCUCAAACUCCUGCCGCAAUUCCUCACACAUGCCCUCGAUGCAUAGGGCAGUGCAGUAACUUUUCCUGCUUAAUGCGUCUGCCACCACAUUGGCUUUACCCGGGUGGUAGUGAAUGCUGAUGUCAUAGUCUUUGAUUAGUUCCAACCAUCUUCGUUGUCGGAGAUUUAGGUCCGGUUGGGUGAAGAUGUAUUUCAGACUCUUAUGGUCCGUAUAUACUUCGCAGCGGUUGCCAAUCAGAUAGUGCCUCCAGAUCUUCAAAGCAUGAACCACUGCUGCCAAUUCCAGGUCAUGAGUUGGAUAAUUCCCUUCGUGUGGACGCAACUGCCGCGAGACAUACGCAACCACUCUGCCCUCUUGCAUUAGGACACAUCCAAGUCCGUGACGACAUGCAUCGCAAUAGACUUGGAAGUGUUUCAUUUGGUCGGGCAGAAUCAAAACUAGUGCGGAUACUAAUUUCUUCUUGAGCUCCUCAAAACUCUUAUCGCACUCAGCUGUCCAUUUAAACUUCUCAUCUUUCUUAAGCAGCUGAGUCAUGGGUCGGGCGAUCCUGGAGAAGUUUUCGAUGAAUCGGCGGUAAUAACCUGCAAGUCCAAGAAAACUUCAAAUCUGCGACACGGUCUUCGGUGGGGUCCAUUUGGUAACUGACUCUACGUUCGAUGGAUCAACUGCCACACCCUGAGCUGUAAUGACAUGGCCCAGAAAUUUGACCUCUGUUAACCAGAAGUGAACUUGGCGUAUAGCUGGUGCUCCUUCAACUUCUCGAGUACCAGACGGAGAUGUUGCUCAUGUUCUUCUUCGGACUUUGAAUAGAUAAGUAUGUCGUCGAUGAAUACCACAACAAACUUGUCCAGAAAUUCCAUGAACACUUUGUUCAUCAGAUUCAUGAAGAAUGCGGGUGCAUUGGUAAGUCCGAAAGACAUAACCGUGCACUCAUAUAGCCCGUACCGAGUGGUGAAGGCCGUCUUUGGAAUAUCCUCUUCCCGAAUUCUCAACUGGUGGUAGCCUGAUCGCAGAUCUAUCUUAGAAAACACUUUAGCUCCUUUCAGUUGAUCAAACAAAUCAUCGAUUCACGGCAAAGGAUAUUUGUUCUUGAUUGUGACCUCGUUUAGUGCGCGGUAAUCAACGCACAUCCCCUUCGUCUUAUCCUUUUUCUCCACAAAAAUGACCGGAGCACCCCAAGGUGAAGUACUUGGUCGAAUGUAACCUUUCUGCAGCUGCUCAUCAACCUGCUUCUUGACCUCUGCUAGUUCGUUGGCCGCCAUUCUGUACGGUCUCUUGUAAAUUGGAGCGAUUCCCGGUGCCAAGUCAAUCCGGAAUUCAAUCUCUCUCUUGGGUGGCAUGGUAGUAAGGUCUUCGGGGAACAUUUCUGGAUACUCGCAGACUAUGGGUAUAUCUUCCAAUUUCCUCAAAUUCUUCUCCACGGUGUCCACUGGGAUUUCCGCCUCAAUCUGAUUCAAAGAGAUCCCUUGCUUUGGUGAGUCUGGUGAUUUGUACACUACUGUUUCUCCCUUCUCGUUGGUCAAGGUGACUGUGCGAUUCGAACAAUCGAUGACUCCCUUAAACUUGGUCAGCCAAUCCAUCCCAAGAAUGACAUCUAGGUCUUUGGAUUCGAGAAGAAUGAGGUUGGCUAGAAAUGGUGAUCUUUGAAUUUCUAUUGUUAUAGAAGGGCUGAAUUGAACCGAAGUGGAGCUAUUCCCUGGGGUAUGAACCCGCAUUGGUGUGCUAAGUUCCUCUCUUAUUAACCCAUGCAUCCCGACAAACUUCUUUGAAAUGAACGAAUGCGUUGCACCAGAAUCAAAAAGUACUGUUGCAGGGAUUGAGUUAACAGGAAACGUACCCAGUACAACCUCUGGUGCUGCUUGUGCCUCCUUCGCAGAUGCGUGGUUGACACGAGCCUGGAUAAACCUUGGCCCGGCACGCCUAGGCUUCGGGCAUUUGUCAGCGAAGUGGCCAAGCUCGCCACAGUUGAAGCAGGACCCUGGUUUUGCUCCAGUCUCCUCCUUGGCUUGCGCGGACGGGCCUGACUGUGCCGGUGCCAUUGGUGGGAGCGGAGCUGCACCGCGGUUGGGCUGACCUCCAUGGUGGUUCUGACUGCCACUUGCGCCCUGGGGAAAGUUGCUAGGGUUGAACGGGCGGUACUGGCGGACGAUCAUGGUGGUAGGUCCACCCUGCUGCUCGGGAGCGAAGCGCGGCCUCUGGUGACUUCCCUGAGGUGCCCUGAACUGAGCGGCCUUCCUCUUCCUGUCCAUCUUGUUGCGUUGAUCCUCCUGACGGAUUGUCUUGUCUACCAGCCUUUCGAAAUCGGCGUAAUCUCCAGAUAUCAACUGGUUGGUUAGCUCAUCAUCCAGACCUGCUAGGAAUUUUUCCUGCUUCUCGGCGUCAGUACGGACAUCCUCCGGUGCAUAUCGCGCGAGGUGAUUGAACUCAUGGAGAUACUCCGUCACCGUCCUGUUGCCUUGGUGCAGUGCUCGGAAUUCUCUCUUCUUUUGUGCCACGACCCCAUCUGGCACCUGCGCCUUCCUGAAGCUAUGACAGAACUCUGCCCAAGUGACUUCAGUGCCUGGCGGGCGGGUGGCCAUGUGAUUGUCCCACCAAGCUGACGCAGGACCUUGAAGCUGGUGUGUGGCGAAAGCAACCUUCUCCUGAUCAUUGCACUGCAGGAGAUUCAGCUUCUUCUCUAUGGCAUGGAGCCAGUCAUUCGCCUCCAUAGGGUUGGUGGUGCUGGAGAAAGUAGGUGGCCUGACACGUAGAAACUCUGGCAAUUUGGACUGAGGGGGAGGGGGACCAAACUGCUGAUGCUGCUGUUCGGCAUGCUGCAGCAUCCGCUGGUGCAUCUGCUGGUGCUGCUGCUGCAUCUGCUGCAUCAUGGCUGCCAUCAUUUGAGUCUGAUGUGCCAUCACUUGGGCUAGCGUCGGAUUCUCGGGAAGUGGUGGCGGACCAUUGUCGGAAUUGCUGUUGGGAUGCACACCCUCAGUGCGCUCUUCGCCGUUGCUGCCCUCGCCUGUUGCGCGGCUACCAUUCCUGGUGUAGACCAUCUGGAGGAAAAGCAGACGGGGAAAAGAAGAAAAAAAAAAGAGGCUCAAGAACUAAGCUUUAUUAUAUAGGAAUUUAAACUGCAAUUGUUCUGAUCUGAAUUAAAACACUUAAAAAGCAAGCAAAAAUCCUUAUUAAGACAGCCAUAUCAUAGGCACAUGAUAUCGACCGUCGACUGACCCACAAGCAAGCAACCUAAACACACAAACUAACAAACAAAUGCUAGACAGUCGAUAAACUAAUGGAAAACGAGCCUAAUGCUCGGAAUGGCUCCUGCGGUCGGUGGAGUCGAGGGCGUCCUCCUGCUCGUCACCAGGUCCCUCUGAGCGACUCCUGGAGCCUGGCAGAUAAGUCUCGCCGCUGCCCGGCUCUGAGCCACUGGAGCUACUGCUGCUGAGAUCGUGGCUGCCACUGGGAGUAGCAGGCAACCAACCUCCGUUGCCACUGGCUGGACCCCUGGCGGCUGAUGCUGGAGCGAAGGAGAGAGCGGACGCGGGAGCUGACACGUGAACGGGAGCUGGAGCUGGUACUGGAGCUGCAGGAACUACCGGAGCUGCGGGCAGAACUGGAGGUGCUGCGGGAGUUGCUGAUGGAGGUGGGUUCCUGGGCGCAAGCUGGAUGCGCACGGGUGCAGUCGUCGUCUUGUGGGGCGUAGUGCGGAUCCGGACUCCUUCUGGCGCGGGAAGACCCUUUAACUGAGCCUUCUCCCUCUUCAGGCGCGCUAUCUCGUCCUUCAGAGCGACGAUCCUCAUGAGCUUCCCAUCAUUCAAGGCCUUGGACGCCUUGUGCAAGUCCGAGUGCAUCCUAUCCAAUCCCCUCAUCACAGCACACAUGUGACCAAAGGUAGUGUCGUUCUCGCUGGCUGUCGGACGGAAAGUACUGACAUCAUCACUGCUAGCUCGACGAGGGUGAAAUCGGUACGCCGUGUCGUGGAAGAUGUAGUUGUGGCGCUCCCGUAGUCUGGCCAUCAUCAGGUAUGCUGCCUCCUGACAGGCGUGAUCUGCUGUGCCUCCGGAUGCCUCAACCACCAUAUUAGCUAGGCAGGUACCCACGUAGCCGUGGACCUCCAGGCGAACACGGUGAGGAAGCUCGCCACUGAGCGGUGGAACAGUCGUGUGCUCUGGCGCGUUGGGGUAGCCCACCACCAGCGUCAUACGUGCCAACUCUGCCACAAAGUCAAUCAUGCCUUCUCCGCGGUGGUUGGGUGGGUGGCCGGCCAUCUAGAGAAGACAAAGGAGUAGAAUCAAUGCAUGCUCAAAUCCAAAUUUAAAUAAAGCAAUAAAGGACUCAAAUAAGAGAAUCGAAUAAGAGCGAAAUUUUAUGCAUAGAUCAUUUUGCAUGAGAGCGAAUAAAUAAGACAGACUUACAUAACGGUAAAAUAUUGGGGAAAUUAGAUACAUACUAAUAGUAACAGUAAGAGCAUAAAUACCUUGCAACCCAUGUUCCUGAGCUAGGACCUAAUGCAUUUCACCCAUCAAAUCCCAACUGACUGACGAAUAAAUCUCAAUAGUUUUACUAAAACCCUAGACUGACUUGUUUUGACAAAUCUCACUUAAACGAGCGACCAAGAUUUUUCCCCUUGAACCACAAGAACAGAUCCCAAUUUUCCCGGAACAAAUCCAAUUGCAAAGAACAUAUGCAAUGAAAAGGAUUCAGAGGGCUCUUAGGUUUUUCCAUUUGGCUUGUCCUAUGGUCAAGGUCGGCUCUGAUACCAACUUGUCACGCCCAGAAAUUCCCGAAUAGAAUUCCAAGCAGAAUGUGCAUUAAAAUCCCCGUCCAGGACCGGCCGGGGUACACAAACGACAAUGUUGACAUUCAGAUCCACGUCUUACAAACAUCAUAAAAGUCUUACAUAAAUGCAGCGGAAAACGAAAGACAACAGGAGCUAAGUCUUGACUAGAACUGCAGUGGGAACACCACUCCACAGGCAUCCUCGACGGCACGGACGAAGCCUACUCCUCAGAGAAACCUCCAUCUGCCACAUACUCGUACUCUGGGGUUGGGAAAAAUAGAGCAAGACUGAGUACUACCCACUGUACUCAGCAAGUCAUACCGGAAUAGGGGUAUGAUGCAGGGAAUUACCAAAGGAGAGCUGGAGUGGUUCAUUUGCAUAAAGCGAGCAUUUAUAAACAGAAGUUGAAAGAUUUAAACAGUUGUAAUAAUUAAUUAAUAUUAAUCAUCCACUGUCCAACGCUAUACCACGUUGCGACAGGCCCAACCAUCCACCUAUACUAUCCAGAUUCUAAGGAUUACACUAGGGUGAGACUAAUCACGGUGAAUCUGGUUGACCGCCCAUAACCGCGGGCACGGCUAUUCGAAUAGUUUUACUCUGAUCAGAGGUGUACAACUGUACCCACAAGACACAGCCCCACGACACGUUUCCGUGCGCCGACAUGCCACCACGACAUACCGGAAAGAGGCCGUGACAGGACCCUUCACAUAACCCCCUCUAACCAAGCACAGCACACCUCAGGUUUCACCCCCACUCCUCGCAAGGCAGCGGGCAGUCCCCUCUCGUGCCUAGGUGAAUCCGGAAGCGACAGAGGCCGUCGCAGGGCCCGCCCCGCUCCAUCAUGCCCACCCUUGCCUGCAUGCGUCGACUAGAGGAAGGCUACACUACAAGCCCAGCCGUUGCCCACGCUGGCUUGUGGUAAGUACGAUAAGUUCUUCCAGGGCAUCCCGCGAACCGGUCCUUAACUGCCAUGGGUGCGACCAGCAAAACCAUGCACCCACAGCCCACCAUGUGAUUUAUUUUAAUGAACCAACACCAAAGCGGUGGCACUAAUCCAACAAUACCAUUAGAACCAACAGUCUAAACAUUAAUAAGAUUUUCCCCAUUGUGCACUAGUUGAACUAAGCAUGGCUAAGCAAUCCCUAGUCCAAUCUCUAGUCAUGUUAUAACCCCAAGCUGACAAAGGGACAUGGUACAACAAUAGCAUGGCUAUGACAAUAGGUAAACACCCCAUAGAAACAUUAUAAAACAAUACAAUAUUUGAAAGAAAACAAUAGAGCAUUUGCAAUAUAGGAUCAACAUGUUCAAGUGACAAGCAUGACUUGCUCUGCUGCUGGAGGAACCUCGGCGACUAUUUCGAAGAACACCGGAGCGUCGGAGGAACCGGAAUCUAGCGACAUACAAAGCAAACAUUGCAAACAGGCUAAAAGACUACUGAAACAGGGAAUAAAACCAUUUUUAAUGGAUUCAACACAUUUUUCUUGAUUUACUGAGACUUGAAUGGGCUUAAACGGAGCUCGGAUGAAUUAGUUAUGAAUUUUAGAAGAUUCACUGUGUUUAUUACUAUAAAAGAAAAACCUUAAAUCAUUUAUUGCGCAAUAAAUCCCAGGGCUGACGUUAGCAUGGGGGGGAGGAGGCGCGGCGCCGACAUGCGGGGCCCACUCGGCAGCGACUCAAGGGGGGAACGGUUCUCCGUGGACCGGGACCACGCGGGUGGUCCACCGCCGGUCCACGGAACCGACGGCCCAGAUCGCCCUCGGGGUCGAUCGGACGGGCGGCGGCGACCCGGCUCGGCUCAAGGCCGGCCAAGCGGUCACGGCGACGGCGACGGCGCGCGCGCGAACGCGUUGCCGGCGACGGCAACCGGCGGCGGAGGCGACGGCGCAAAGGCGACGUGAAUGCGGCGGCGCUAAGCGGCGGCUAGGAAGGAGAGGGAGGGGAAUAGAUGGGAGAGGAAUCCUCACCGAGGGUGGUCGGCGCGGAGGAAGACGACGGCGAACGGCGACGGCAAGCCACGGGAGGACGACGGCAACGGGCGGACGGGAUUCGGGGUGCCCUAAGGAAGGAGAAGAGAGAGAUUAGAGGGAGGGAGAUGAACCACGGCGACCGGCAUUCAUGGCCGAAGGCGGCGGUAGAGGUUGAACUCACCGGAGCGCGAGGGGGUGCGAAUUCCAGCGACGAAACUCGACGGGGAAGGGGCGGCUGGGGUGGAGCUUAGCCUCACAAACCCGACGGCAGCGACGGCGACCCUAGCGGCGGCUAGCGGCGGCCGGAGUAACGGAAACGGCGGCGGCGGGUGGUUGCACGGCGCGGGAGCGAUGGGGAGCACGAGGGAGUUCGGCGAGACGGGGAAAAAGCGAGAGGGAGCGACGGGGAAGCCUAAAUAGGGGAAGGGAGCCCCGUACGUGGCCGGUAGGGGCGGGAUUUCGCCGGCCAACGUGGGGAGUGGGGAGGAGAGAGAGGCGGGAUUCGAAAAUCGAACCCCGGCCAUCUCGGGCGCGGGCGGGAGAGAGAGAGGAGAAGUGGGAGCGGGAGAUGCGGCGCACGCGCGGGCGUGGCUGACGUGGCCCGAAGAAGGCGGAGGCGUGGACGCGGCGGCGGUUGCGGGCGCGGCGGCGCCGGCUGGAGGAAGGAGACGGGCCUGACAGGUGGGGCCCACCUGUCGGUGUCCCGGGGAGAGAGGGAGGGGCGGCUUGGGCUGGCCCACAAGGAGGAGGGCGCGUGCGGCGGUUGCGGACUGGGCCGACGGCCCAAGAAGAGGAAAAGGAGGGGAAAAGGAAAAAAAAGAAAAGGAGGAAAAGAAUUUCCCUGGGAUUUAAAAAAAAAGCAAGCUCGAUUUUAAAAGGUUAAAAUUAUUUCGAGAGCUCUGAAAAUUCCACUAAAAAUCUUGUUAGUGAAUUUCGACAUGUAGAACUCAAGAAAAAUUCCACAUGCCAAUUCCGAUUAUUAUUUGCAUUGAUUUAAUAGGGUUUACUCUUGCUUUGCACCGGUGUUUUUUUUUAGAGUCUCUUAUUAAUUCAAUUUUAGGCUUAGGAGGAGAACUUCAGGGUGUGACAAGAGUAGACUAGAGUCCAUAUAAAAAUAUAAUUUAUAAAUAACUGAAAUUCAGAAUUAAAAAUAAAGAAAUUAGAAGAAGAGUAUAAAGUCCAUAUAGAAAUACAAUUAAGAAAUAAUAGAAAUUCGGAAUUAAAAAUGAGAAAUAUUAGAAGUAGAGUAUAGAGCCCAUAUAGAAAUACAACUAAGGAAUAAUAGAAAUUCGGAAUUAAAAAUAAGGAAUAUUAGAAGUAGAGUAUAGAGUCCAUAUAGGAAUUAAAAACUAACUAGAAUUCAUAAUAAACAUAAUAAAAUUAAAACUAGAGUUUAGAGUCCGUAUAAAAAAAAUACAGUUUACAAAUAACUAAAAUUCGAAAUUUUAAAUAAAACAUAGGAAGAAGAGUCUAAAGUCAAUAUAGGAAUAUAAUUUAGAAGUAAGUGAAAUUCGAAAUUAAAAAUUAAAGAAAUUAAAAGAUGAGUUUAGAGUCCACAUAGAAAUAGAAUUAUAAAUAAUAAAAAUACAGAAUUUAAAAUAAAUAAUAUUGGAAGAAGAGCUUAGAGUCUAUAUAGAAAUACAAUUUACAGAUAACGAAAAUUCAGAAAUUAAAAAAAAUAUUGAAAGACGAGUCUAGAGUCCAUAUAAGAAUAUGAUAUAAAAAUAACUAAAAUUUGAUAUUAUAAAUAAUUAAUAAGUAACACGUAUAUAAAAUACAAUAUGAAUAUUACACAUUAGUAGUUCAUAAAGUUAGUACAAAAUUUAAAAUUAUGGUGUCAUUUUAAUAUGUUCGAAUAAUACAUUAAGAAAACAUAUAUGCUAUUAUAUGAGAGUAAAUAUAAUGAUGAUAGCCGCGCAAUCUGCGCGGGCCAGAAUGCUAGUUGUAUAUAAAAUUAAGGCAGGACAAAGCUUUUUGUGCUUGUUCGAAGGUGGUUGCCCAUGCAUAACUUAAACUCGUUCAAAUAAUAUAAGUCUUGCAUUUUUUUAGUUGAAUUUUUUGUCAAAAUUCGUUGGAAAAUUGUAGAUGAAAUUAAGGCAGGGAGAGAAAGCUUUUUGUGCUUGUUUGAAGGUUGUCAACUUGGACUUUAAAUCUUAAAACUGAGAUCACUCUGCCACUUGACAUUGAUGCAGUAAUAAUCUGAUCUAUAUUCGGAUGAUUAAUUGCAUUAAUUGGUAGAAAUAAUUUAUUCAUCAUGACAUUUACGUGAUCUAUUAAUUGAUGCGAUUGAAAUUCCCAAAAUAAACCGAUUUACAUGGGAAUAGCUGGUGAUAUCAAACCUUGAAAUUCCCAAAAUAAACCGAUUUAUUUGGGAAUAGCUGGUGAUAUCAAACCUUGAAAUUCCCAAAAUAAACCGAUUUACUUGGCAAUAGCUGGUGAUAUCAAACCAGUAGGGCGGGGUCGGCCCACCGGCCAGCUAAGUGCUGCUUGGGCAGAGGGCAUUUGCCAAAUAAAAUAAUCGGGACUGUUACAAGGUGCUAACAAAUCAUGUGCCUGAUUUCUUUUUGGUAAAAAUUGGAUGCAAUUUCACCAAGUAGAUCGGAAUUGUUACACUAAGUAUAUCGAAAAUGUUUUAUUAUUUUAAAAAAGCUGAUACACAACCAAAUCACCUCGUGAAACAUUUUGCUACAACGUAUGAAACAACGGUUCCAAACAAAUCAGGCGUUGUUUUACCUUAUAUAAAAACAAUGUUUCAAUAAUUAGCGAAAUAAUGUUUCAAAUCACUGCAAUAUUUGAUCCAUACAUAAUGAAACAUCACGAGUAUACUUACUGAAACACUAUUGGUAGAAAACAAAUGAAACGGAUUCCCUUAAUAAAGCGUUCUAUAAUAUGCAGGUGAUUUGUUGCAACGACGUGUAUGGUGGGGCGCGUGGAGGGACUGCGCGGAGGCGUGGGAGGGGCGGGAUCGCGCAGCGGACGCGUAGGAGGCGGCGGGUGCCCUAUUUUUCUCCCUUUGAUCGGGCGCCCAAUCGCUGGCAUUUUCCGGACGGUUACAACGCUCAUACUAUCUCUUUUCGUUUUCCUUUUCCCUAGUGCCACGCGUGGCUGAUUCGGACCAAUAAACAGCUGGCAGAAGAGCCAACAUUAGAUAUAUUUUGACUGAUUGAUUUUUUUUAUCAAAUUUCUUUAGAUUUAACCAAAUUAAUAAAAAAAAUUAGCAACAUCUACAAUACGAAAAUAGUUUCAUUAAAUCUAACAUCAAAUAUAUUUUGAUAAUAUGUUUGUUUUGUAUUGAAAAUAUUAGUAUUUUUUUCAAACUUGGUUAAAUUUAAAGAAAUUUGAGUAAGAAAAAGUCAAACGACUUAUAAUAUAAAACAGAGGGAGUAUAUGAAAAUAAUAUUAUAAUAACAAAUAUCAAAUAUUUCAUUAUAGGUAGAUAAAAUCAUUCUUUUUAAAUUAAUAAUACCAACUAACUCUAUAAUCAGUGGAUUUAUAUAUUAUCAUAAUGCGUGACACGGUUUCAAGAAAAAUGUUGAAAAUGCAAGACUUUUCCUUAGAAAAUUUGUUGUAAUUUUAAACAUAAUUAAUAAAAUAAGGGUAUGUGAUUAUAAUCAAACCGUUAUAUUUCUUUCUGCACGCACACUGUGUAGCAUGUGUGUCCUAUUUAGAAUUAGUUUACAACACAUAAAUUCCAAAAUCAUAUUUUUUUUACUGUAAAUUUUUUUAUGGAUUUUGUUUAUUUUUUCCUCCUUAGUCAUUACAUUCGGCAGUCUUCCUGUUUAGCUGCCUGUUCUGUGGCAGUACCACAAACACACGACGCAGUUGGGAAGGAAGUGAAAUUUCCUUUCAAAGUAGCAUAUACUUGUACUCGCUACUGUGUCAGUUGGGAAGCUUCUAGCAUAUGCUAGAUGUGUUGCUCAAAACUUUCUUUUCUUAGGAUUUUUUUCUCUCAUAUAAUUCCUAAAUUUAUCUCAAAGAUUAAUACUGCCACUUGGCCCAAGCGGCUGGCAGUGUGCGCCAGCUUUAAAAGUACUUAUUUAUUGACUGAUCUGCAGAAGCAGAAAGGUGAUCAAACUUAAAAAGUCGAGACAAUGUACAAUGCCCAUUUUCCGGUAUUUUGUCGAAGCUCAAAUUCUCAUAUGUAUUUCCUCGGUUUCAUAAAAAAUAAAUAUAGGAAGGAAUAUGAUAGAUUAUUCGUAGUACUGUGAUGUGUCAUAUCUUGUUUUAUGUUUGGUUUUUAUAGGACGGAUAUGAAGUACUUGGAUUGAUGAGCUACAAAAGAAAACUAGUUUUUUCAGUUUUUUCCUUCCCCACGUGACAAUUGAACACUUCAAACGCUUCACUGUCAGGUAGUAAUACACUACAUCUGAAUAGGUCAACUUACAGUAGAUCAAAACUAAGGUCACGAACGAAGAAAGACCACAAUAGCGACGCAAUAGUCCAGCAGUCACUUCCAGCCUUCCAGGGAUCAAUAUCCCGUGAAGAAUUAAUAAACUACAGGGAAAUCUCGCGAGGUCGGGCAAAAUCUUGUUGAGAGAAGUUGAUUUUUUUAAUCAGAUUUUAUUUGAACUUGAAGCAGUUUGAACAAAAUUUAAUAAAAUUUAGAGAAAUUAUAUUGUAUUGAACUCGAAAUUUUCAGCCAGGAUUAUAAUAUAUAGCGAUGGCUCGAGAGCGAAAUUUCGUUGAGAAAUUAAUUAAUCCCUGGUCACAUCACAUAACACAACCGUGGGAGGAAGUCAUCACAAUUGGGACCAUGAUAGCACUCCAGGUGAGUACAUUUCGUUAAUUGAAGUUUUCAAAGGUAAGUGUAGCUAUAAUUUUCUAUCACAUGUUUGAAUUGAGGAGGGAUGCAAAGUUAGGUGCAGUAUUGGCCUGUGUCAUUUGCUCAUAACUAGAUGAUACCCCACGCAUAGCUGCGGGACUUCUUGUUUCUAAAAAAAUAUUAUCCACGCUAAGAAUGCUAAAAACAAAAUUAAUAAUGAGAGCAAACUCAAACAUAUGAAGAAAGUUCAAAGUUGUAGGAUAAAAACAUGUACUCAUGAAAAAAGAGCAAGAUUACAUUUACAAAUUGACAUGUGCACCUCUUACAGCUCGCAGAGUUAAUUAAUAUGGAUAGGACUACUAUAUAAACUCAAAAGCACUCAGGAAAGCAUGGCCAAAUAUGUUUUCAAUGUACAAUGAGUUCAGCAAGAAUGAAACUGCUUAUUAUCUUCACUUUUUAAACGUACACGCUGAUAUGUUUUUAGGAGCAGUCUUACUUGAUUAAGUACCAAGCAUCUUCAUAAGAUCAGACUUCCCCUAGCAAACAACAUGAUCAAUGGAGCCACGAUGUAUUAGGCUGCACAAACCCGACCUAUAUAGGACGUGGCAUUGCAAAAUGGCAUGAAAAUAGAUAAAAAAAAAUACAUGCAAAUUCUAAUAUUGAGGCAAGGAAAGCAUUAUAUGGUUUAAAAAAUUAUUGUAUUCAAAUUACAUUUUAGCAAAAGGAAGUGAAAUUCAGUAUUCAAAUCCACUGAAACAUCCAUUUAACUCAUACUGCAGUAUUGCACACUUCAUCAGCUGAACAGAUGAAAAUAUCCAUCGGCUGAACAGAUGAAAAUAUCCUGGUAGAGCUUAUAUCUCUUCGAUGAACCCAAAAAAAUAUGCAAUCUUUGAUGCAUAAAAUCAGUAAGGUAAAGGGCCAAUCCACAUAGCAUAAUACAUGUUCUUUCUCAUAAGGUAUUCAUCAAGAACAAUAACCAUGCUCAGUGAAUGAUGGUAAGAAAAUUCUGAGAAAAUAGAAAUCGAUUAAAAGAAGUUCUGAACAUGCCAAAUAUCAAAUAUAUAACAGUGCGCUGUUGCAAAUGGUUAUCAGUUGCAGUCUUUCUUAUGCUUGAUCAAAUCACUUGAUGUUAUUAUAUCAUUACGAUGAAAAGGAAUGAUAUUGAGCUGAAAGAAAUGGAAGAUAGAGCAAAUCCUUGAAUCUUCUGAAAGCAACGUUAUAAUAUUCUUUAGUGACGAACAAAUGAAAUAGGAAGGUAGAGAGAUAGUGGUAGCAUAUAAGGGGAGGCCAAACUUCCUCGAGGAACCAUCCAGGUAGAAGGUAUCUUUGAGCACCUCAGCUUACGGAGUAUACUAAAUCUUCCAAACAAACCCCUGGCUUUCUGUUUAGGGGAAAAGAGAGAAAGAUUAAGCUGGAGUGAGAGGACAAUGGCUAGCAAGUGAUAACAAGAAUGAAUGGAUGAGAAAUAUAAAAGAUAAUAUCGGCUUACCUGUAGUGAGAGGACAAUGUCACUGCUGUCCAGCUGGUGCAGAUUCAUACUUUUGGACAAUAAGUUGAUCUAGGGCAAGCAGCAGAAGCUCUAAAAUGGAUCAGUAGUUGUCGAGGCAAGAAGACAACGAUUUCAACCAUCAGAAUAAAAAAG
rnacentral:lncRNA from 1 species